rnacentral:lncRNA from 1 species
CUGGAGGCCAGAGAUGGUCAGAGAUGCCAUGUUCCUAACCGGGAGCCAGGGAAUCUCUCUGAGAUCCCUGAGAGUUGGCUGUUUUUCCUGUUGAUCAGGUGUUUGGGGGCAUGGCCCUGGUGCUGCUGCGGCCAGACAGCUCCAUCUUUGCCAACAUUGUUGCUGUCCCCAGUGCAGUACAGGAGAGGGUGACCUUCUGUCCCACGGUCCCUGACACCGAGGCUUCCUGGGUCAGCGCAGACUGUGCCCAGGACCCUGGAACAGAGGAGGCAGGCACAGAGAGGUCCAUGGAGGUGAACCACCCAGCACCCCUCAGCCUCUUGGAACUUGCAGCCCACAGCCUGCUGAGCAAUGAGGCUUCAGUUCCACUGGUGUUGGAACAGCUCACAGUGAACCUUUUCCCGCCACUACUCACUGCUGCAUUUGCCAAGGGGCACAGAAAGGCUCUGAAGGCCUUGGUGCAGGCCUGGCCCUUCCGGUUUCUCCAUCUGGGCUCUCUGAUAGUGCAGUGGCCCAACCAAGACAGCCUGCAAGCUGUGGUGGAUGGGCUGGAGGCCUUUUCUGCCCACAGGGCUUGUCCCAGGAAGUCAGAACUGAGGAUGCUGGAUUUCACCCUGGACUCUGAGCAAGUCUUUUACUGUGGUAAAGGGGCUUCUGAAGCCUUGGCCAAGUUCCCAUUUUGGUUACCAUCAGCAGUCAAGGCAGAGACGCCCCAGGCCACGGCCAGGCCCAAGCCAGCAAAGAACAUGAAAAAAGGAUGAAAGCAGCCAUGGGAAGCAGUGGAAAUACACAUUGAUCUUUUCCUAUGAGGCUUCUUCAAGUUAGAUAAGUUCCUCUCCGACCUCCUGACGAAAGUGGAACAGAGCCACGGGGCCCUGCAUCUCUGCUGUAGGAAGUUGCACAUUGAGAAGAUGGCCGUCGACAGUCUGCUGAGGAUCCUGAAGACACUCAGGCUGGAUUUCAUCCAGGAGCUGGAGGUGUUUUACUGGUGUAGAGACUUCUUGGUAUUGGCAGAGCCAAACCUAUCUGCCAUACAGCUGGGAAGGAUCUUCAACCUGCGCAGCCUCAAGCUCUUCUACUACAAGUGGGCCUUCUCCUCAUGGGUCAGGCGGCCCUCCAGCUACUUCUUCUCCCAGCUCACCAUGCUGGGCCACCUCCGGAAGCUGCACCUGUCUCACUCCUACCUCGUAGGCAAACUACAUUACAUACUCAGCUGUCUGUGGGUCCCACUACAUUCCCUGGAGAUCUGCAACUGCAAGCUUCUGGACACUGACAUCACCUACUUGUCCCGGAGCCAUCAUACCACCUGCCUGAAGAAGCUGGAUCUGAGCGUCAACGACUUGUCCUACAUGAUCCCUGGGCCCUUGGGUACCCUGCUGAGGGCAGUCUCAGGGACACUGCAGCACCUAGACCUGAAACACUGCUGGCUGAAGGAUGCCCACCUCAGUGCCCUCCUGCCCGCCCUGUGCCGCUGCUCCCACCUCAGUUCCCUGAGCCUCUCCGACAACCCCAUCUCCAGUGCCUGCCUCCUGAGCCUGCUGGAGCACACCAUGGGGCUGAUGGAGCUGAAGCAGGUACUCUAUCCCAUCCCAGUUGACUGCUGCAUCUACCUGCAUGGCGUCUGCCGGGGUCCUGUGAACGAGGACAAGCUGUGCCAGUUGCAGGCCGAGAUACAGAAGCAGCUGCAAGCCAUGCAGCAGGCUGACAUGCAGUGGAGCCCCUCCACUGUCUUUGCUUAUGCAGCUGGUGCAGUUUGAAUGAAGAACAGGAGCCAGGCUCAGGGAACAGAAGUCAGAGAGGGCAGCUGGAAUCACAGCUGAGGCCACAUGUUGUUUGCAAGGAACAUAAAAUAAACUUCCAUGGGAACUA